AACGAACGCUGGCGGCAUGCCUAACACAUGCAAGUCGAACGAUGCCUUCGGGCAUAGUGGCGCAAGGGUGCGUAACGCGUGGGAAUCUGCCUUUCGGUUCGGAAUAACUCAGGGAAACUUGAGCUAAUACCGGAUAACGUCGCAAGACCAAAGAUUUAUCACCGAAAGAUGAGCCCGCGUAGGAUUAGCUAGUUGGUGAGGUAAAGGCUCACCAAGGCGACGAUCCUUAGCUGGUCUGAGAGGAUGAUCAGCCACACUGGGACUGAGACACGGCCCAGACUCCUACGGGAGGCAGCAGUGGGGAAUAUUGGACAAUGGGCGAAAGCCUGAUCCAGCAAUGCCGCGUGAGUGAUGAAGGCCUUAGGGUUGUAAAGCUCUUUUACCCGGGAAGAUAAUGACGGUACCGGGAGAAUAAGCCCCGGCUAACUCCGUG
rnacentral:rRNA from 1 species